rnacentral:tRNA from 1 species
GAGAGAGUUUGAUUUUACCCGAAGGACUGCUACUCCCUCCGGCCCGCGGUUAAAAUCCGCGGCUCACUCG